rnacentral:rRNA from 1 species
UCGGACUGGCCCAGGGAGAGGUGGGAAACUACCCCUCAUGGCCGGAAAGCUGCUCAAACUCGGUCAUCUAGAGGAAGUAAAAGUCGUAACAAGGUCUCCGUUGGUGAACCAGCGGAGGGAUCAUUA